ensembl:lncRNA
AUGAAGUCAGCGACACAGGUGUGCCAAAGCACAGUGACACGUCCAGGCGUGAUGGCCAUGGCAGUGGACUGUAUCGUGAAAUUGGGCGGCAGUGCGCUGACGCAGAAGAAUCAGCUGGAGACUCUACGAGCGGAGUCCUUGGAGCGAGCGGCUGCAAUUGUAUCUCGGCUCUGCGCAGGAGAGAGGCGAUGCAUUGUCGUACACGGGGCAGGUUCUUUUGGACAUUUCCAAGCAAAGGAAUAUGGUGUUGCUUCUGGAAUAUCAGCAGGAUCAGCUGCAAAUGACAGUUUGAGACAAGGACUGUGUCUGACCAGGCUUUCUGUCACCAAGCUGAACCAUUUGGUGACAGAACAGUUGGUAAAAUGUGGUGUUCCGGCAGUGGGCAUUUCGCCUUUUGGAGCUUGGAAAACAAAAUGCAAGAAAAUCAGUCAGGUUGCCAUCGACACAGUGAGUGACGUUCUAAAUUCAGGUUAUGUGCCAGUUUUACAUGGUGACUGUGCUCUUGAUGUAGAACAGCACUGCUGUAUCUUAUCUGGAGAUACAAUUAUUGAGGUUCUCGCAAAUAUAUUCUCUCCUAUGAGAGUUGUGUUUCUCACAGAUGUGAAUGGGAUUUACAGCUGUCCACCUGACAUCCCAGGAGCUAGACUUGUGGAUUCCAUUGUCAUUGGCUCUGAUGGAAAUAUGGAGCCACCUGUGCUCACAUCUGCACUGCCACAUGAUACUACUGGAGGUGUAACCUUGAAGUUACAAACUGCUGUAAAUAUAGUAUCCCGGAGUCAUGGAGCCAUUCCAGUUCUGAUCUGCAAACUAGACAGUGAAGCAGCAGAAAAGGCUUGUCUGACUGGUGAACUGAAGGAAGGUGAAGGCACAAAAAUUUUCUUCAAGGAAGCAUGAAUAUAUUCCUGGCAAGAAAUUUAAUGGAAGAAGGAUUUAACUGGGACUACUAAUUAGACAUCAGAACCCAUUCUACUAUAUAUACUUGACCAUCAUAAUCUGUUUCUGAUGCCUUAAACCAGCCUUCCCCAAUCUGGUAUAGUUCUGCUGGUAUUUUUUAACUACGGGUUCCAUCAGCCUUUACAGAUAUGGUUGUACUGGCUAGUGCUAAAAGAAAUUGUCAUCUGAAAGCAUCUGGAGGACAAAAACUUCAAGAAGCCUGCCUUAAACUAAUUCAUUACAGUCUUCACAAUAAUGAGUGAUGAGAGCUAGUGAAAGUUAAUGCGAUAGUAGUGGUCAGUGUCACCUACUUUAAAAAAGUGAUUCUAAGCUGUGCAACACAAAUAAAUUAUCAUUACUGUCACA